CCUACGGGUGGCUGCAGUGGGGAAUAUUGGGCAAUGGGCGCAAGCCUGACCCAGCAACGCCGCGUGAAGGAAGAAGGCUUUCGGGUUGUAAACUUCUUUUGUCAGGGAAGAGUAGAAGACGGUACCUGACGAAUAAGCCACGGCUAACUACGUGCCAGCAGCCGCGGUAAUACGUAGGUGGCAAGCGUUGUCCGGAUUUACUGGGUGUAAAGGGCGUGUAGCCGGGUUGACAAGUCAGAUGUGAAAUCCUGCGGCUUAACCGCAGAACUGCAUUUGAAACUGUUGAUCUUGAGUACUGGAGAGGCAGAUGGAAUUCCUAGUGUAGCGGUGAAAUGCGUAGAUAUUAGGAGGAACACCGAUGGCGAAGGCAGCCUCCUGGGACAUAACUGACGCUCAGGCACGAAAGCGUGGGGAGCAAACAUGAUUAGAUACCCCUGUAGUC
rnacentral:rRNA from 1 species